rnacentral:lncRNA from 1 species
GUGAGUUCCUAUGCUAACAAAUUGCUUCAUACUACUGCAUCUUUAAAGUUGCUUUACCUUUCAUGUCAAGUUUAAUGAUUUUAAUCAUAUAAGAAAGGAGUUUAUUUUUGUUGGAAUUUCGUUGUAGUGCCAUUCUUAAUAUUUAUUGAAACUUUCCUCCUACGUAGUAGAAAGUGGAAAAUUAUUUUUGGACAGAUUAGAACACGUCACGCAGAUACGCAAAAUGUUCCAACACAAAAGAACGAAACAAAGAUCUUAAUAGAAGGGGUGGAGUUUUAUUAUUAUACAAUAAUAUAAUGCAUGCAUACAGUUAAUCGGAGCAUGAGGGUGACACAAAUAUUGGGAGUACACUCAAACAAAAUUAAUAAGACGAAGAAGAAAAUAAAGUAAAAAUAAAUAAAAGUGGCUUUUUGAGAAAUUAAAGCAUUAUGCCACAAAUUGUAAUAUAGAGUUUAGAGGCCACUAGAACCAAUCAAUUUUGUUAAGCCAAAAGUUAUGGCCAUAGCCAACCAAC